UGCUGAAAAGGGGCCUAGAGAUGCACAAGCGCCACCUCUUGAAUUAUUCAUCCAUUAACACCCUGCACCUUCGCUCUUUCCUCUUAUUAAUGGAGCUGUCAAUUUUUUCAUUUAUCGACUGCUAAACAGCACUUCAUCUCCUUGACUUUUUCAUUACCAUUCUGCCAUCUUUCAUUAUUUGUCUUCCAUCUCUGUUUGUCCAUGUCUCUUGUAAGUUCUCUGAUGGCAGCGUCUGUGUUUGUCAGCCCGUCACACACAGAAGGCGGCACACUCCUCCAGAAGACAAAGGCUGGGUAUAUUCUCCUCUGCACUUCAGCUCAGGGCCUAAAACCCUGGCAGAGGAUGAAGAGGAGAGUGAAUCAUAAUCAGACCUCAGGAAAGAGGGGCAGCUACAAGGUUUGA
rnacentral:lncRNA from 1 species